rnacentral:misc_RNA from 1 species
GAAAUGCGAUAAGUAAUGUGAAUUGCAGAAUUCAGUGAAUCAUCGAAUCUUUGAACGCACCUUGCGCUCCUUGGUAUUCCUUGGAGCAUGCCUGUUUGAGUAUCAUGAAAUCUUCAAAGUAAAUCUUUUGUUAACUCAAUUGGUUUCUACUUUGGUAUUGGAGGUCUUUGCAGCUUCACACCUGCUCCUCUUUGUUCAUUAGCUGGAUCUCAGUGUUAUGCUUGGUUCCACUCGGCGUGAUAAGUUAUCUAUCGCUGAGGACCCUGUAAAAGGUGGCCAAGGUAAAUGCAGAUGAACCGCUUCUAAUAGUCCAUUGACUUGGACAAUACUUUUAUGAUCUGAUCUCAAAUCAGGUAGGACUACCCGCUGAACUUAAGC